rnacentral:rRNA from 1 species
CAGCAGCCGCGGUAAUACCGGCGGCCCGAGUGGCGGUCACUAUUAUUGGGCUUAAAACGUCCGUAGCCGGGUUGGGAAGUCCUCCGGGGAAUCUGGCCGCUUAAAGGUCAGAAUGCCGGAGGAUACUCCCAGCCUAGGGAGCGGGAGAGGCCGAGGGUAUUCCCGGAGGAGGGGUGAAAUCCUAUAAUCCCGGGAGGACCACCUGUGGCGAAGGCGCUCGGCUGGAACGCGUCCGACGGUGAGGGACGAAGGCCAGGGGAGCAAACCGGAUUAGAUACCCGGGUAGUCCUGGCUGUAAACGAUGCGGACUUUGUGUCGGACAAGCUAUGAGCUUGUCCGGUGCCGGAGGGAAACCGUUAAGUCCGCCGCCUGGGGAGUACGGCCGCAAGGCUGAAACUUAAAGGAAUUGGCGGG